UUUCCGUAGGUGAACCUGCGGAANGNNNNNNNNCGUGACCCUGACCAAAACAGACCGCGCACGCGUCACCCAUCCCGCCGGCGGCGGCACCGCCCGACGUCCGGCCAAGUCCCCGACCACCUCCCCUCCCCGGAGGGGGGGCUGGGGCGACAGAACCCACGGCGCCGAAGGCGUCAAGGAACACUAUGCCUAACUCGGGGGCGCGGCUGGCCUGCCGGCCGCCCCCUGCGUUGCGAUGCUAUCUAAUCCACACGACUCUCGGCAACGGAUAUCUCGGCUCUC
rnacentral:misc_RNA from 1 species